rnacentral:misc_RNA from 1 species
UCAUGGACGGUGUUGUCGAACUUGAAAAAUAUUCAUGAAAAUCCCCCUUCUCUAAAUGUUUCUGCUGGCCUGGAUAUCCUUGAUGCUGAAAAUGUUGAAUUAAGUUAUGAUGAAUCAAGCCAUGUGAGACAGGAUGGGGAUUUUACUGCAGAUAAUAUUGACUGGGAUAUUUCUGUUGAUAGCACUCAGAUUGAUUGGGA